GAUGAACGCUGGCGGCGUGCCUAAUACAUGCAAGUCGAGCGAACAGAUAAGGAGCUUGCUCCUUUGACGUUAGCGGCGGACGGGUGAGUAACACGUGGAUAACCUACCUAUAAGACUGGGAUAACUUCGGGAAACCGGAGCUAAUACCGGAUAACAUAUUGAACCGCAUGGUUCAAUAGUGAAAGGCGGCUUUGCUGUCACUUAUAGAUGGAUCCGCGCCGUAUUAGCUAGUUGGUAAGGUAACGGCUUACCAAGGCAACGAUACGUAGCCGACCUGAGAGGGUGAUCGGCCACACUGGAACUGAGACACGGUCCAGACUCCUACGGGAGGCAGCAGUAGGGAGUCUUCCGCAAUGGGCGAAAGCCUGACGGAGCAACGCCGCGUGAGUGAUGAAGGUCUUCGGAUCGUAAAACUCUGUUAUCAGGGAAGAACAAAUGUGUAAGUAACUGUGCACAUCUUGACGGUACCUGAUCAGAAAGCCACGGCUAACUACGUG
rnacentral:rRNA from 1 species